GUUUAAAAUACAGGAAGUGACGUUUGACGACGAUGUAACGCUUUGGUUAAUAAACAACACUUUCGAAGAUGAUUUUGCAACGCUUUUGAACGUUAGCUAAUUCAAAUUAGCAGAGUGUUUUAUUUAUUUGUUUAGCUAACGCAUCAUAAAGAUUUAAAACAAUGUAGAAUGGGAAAACGGGUAUAUUUGUUUUGCUAUGAAGCGUCUGGUGCUAGCUAGCUAGCUUAUCACAACAACUGGAUGGCCUUUGUUUUUCAUGGGUGUUUUUCAGCCAGUGCUGACCAGCGAACUAGUCUUUUCGCCUGUCAACAUCCCUGGAUUUUCUAAAGAUGAAGAGAAAAGUGGCUCGAUUACGGUUAAGUCCAAAUGAAGAAGCGCAACUCAUUCGAGAUGAACACGAAAGGAGAAGGAAGCUGUGAAUAGAACAGGUGCGGGAACAGGAGCGGUAUAUCGCCCUGCAAAUCCGCACGGAGGUGCGGCAGCGACGGGAGCGCGAGCUGCAGAACCUGGCGCAGGAGUUGAAGGAGGAGUGGGAGCGACAACAGAGGGAGAAACAGGAGACCCUGCAAAAGUUAUAUCAGGACAAUCUCCGAGUUUUGGGAGAGGGACAUAGAAGUGCCAAAGAAAAUAAGCCUGACUGUGAGGCAAUUGCACAGAGAAAUUAGGGGAAUAACGUUCGGCAGAUGAGCGCUAUCGAGACGCCAUCAAACAGCUCAAAUCACAGAGACAGAAAGGAGGAGGAGCAAAAUCGUUUUAUUGAGGCUAGGAAGAAGGCCAUACAAGUGGAGAAGGAGAGGGCAGCAACUGUGGCCAACCUCCCAUCCCUUCCACCCAACCCAAUUGAGAAUAUUGAGUCAAGGAAGCUACCUGGAGUGAAGAAAUCGGACAGAGAUGCCUUCUCUGUGACCCACUAUCACAUGCCAGAGACUGCAGUGGACAGGGAAGUUGACAGUACAGCCAAAGGCAUGGGAGGUGGCAGAGGAGGAGGUGCGGCGCCUGCAGGAGCUAGAACGGGAGGAGCAGAGGGAGAGACGGGAGCAGCUGGAGAAAGCUCGUCUUAGGGGCAACCACGCGCUGAGGAGGGAACGGCUCACACAGGACCGAGAGUGCCUCCUGGUGGAGCUGGAACACAUGCAUCAGACAGACCUGUUGAGGCGCAGGCAGAUGAUGGCUCAGAUGCCUGCCCAGAUCUUCUAGCUGCUCUACAAGAGACAGGAGAUGAGGGAGGACUGGCAGAGGGACAUGGAGUUCACCUUUGAGGACAUGUACACUGGAGAGAGUAGUAAGGGUGGGGGGUCCAAAUCAGGAUGAAUUUUUCCGUGCUCUGCUCUGGCCCCGAGUACACAAUUUGUUGGUAUUGCCCUGGUGCAUAGAUAAGUUGUUUUACUUGAUUGAAAUGGAGAGAUUUACCCUAUCCUAGACAGUAGUGUGGACACAUCGUUAUGAGACCUAAUUACCAUUAGUACAUUGGCAUGGAGUUUCUCUAUUCAUCUAAUUAAACCUGUACUGCUCUUUUGCCUGCAGGAGUGAAAGGUGACCUGGUGCUGCAGCUGGUCCCAGAGCCUCUCCCAGCUGUGUCCACUGGCAGCCAGGAUGAACACCUAGACCUGACCCUGGAGGAGGCCACUCCUGACCUUACACCCUCGGCUGGGGCAGAGGAACAACCGGAUGAAGAACCAUCCAGGCCUCUAGGUGGUGCUCCCAGACAGGCCUUGAAGAAGCUACUGACCCGUGUCAGGUCACAGAGAGACCAGUGGAGCUACCGGAGGCUGGUUGACCCCACAUCUGACUGCCAAACUAUUCAGACAGCAGAGCGCGACACGACCUCAGAUGGUACGACCAUUGAGUCAGGCUUUCUGGCCAGCGAAAAGCAGGGCUGACCGUUGACCACUAGUCCCAGACUCCCUGACCCCUCUCAGCCAGCACAAGCUAUAGAGACAAUAGAGGACUCCAUAGUAGCUGGUACCCUGCUCCAUCCUGAUAAACAAGCCAUCAAGAUCCACACAUUUAAACUGAGAGGAAGAGAAGGGAGGAGGAGCUAGAGAGGCAGGAGCAGAUUGCCCUGCUACAGGAUUUAGGGGAGAAGAAGAGCAAGCUGGAGCUACUGCAGGAGGCCCAGGAAGAGAGGGAGCAGCUGCAGACGGCCAUGACCCAAGACACUGCUGCUGCAUCUGGAACACUGAAAACACCAGCCCAGGACGUCAGCCCUGCUGCUCCAUCUCCUGAGUCUACUAUACACUCAGCUGCUGAGGAUGACCACCCCAGGAGAAUCAGAGAGUAUCAGCAGCGUCUCUUAGACCAGAACAGGCUUCAUAAGCAGUCAGUGGAAGAGUCUCACCGGCGUCUGGAAGAGUACCAACACACGCUAAGAAACCGCUAUUCUGGUGUAACUACGGCAACAUGUCUCCCUCCUGGUACCACAGCCCGUCCUCUACCACACUUUAAAGGAGGAAUCAUUCCCCCGGUAGUGCCACUAGAACUCCCCUCUGGCUCCCCUGUCUCCCUGUAGCACUUAGUACCCACUCUAGAGCUCACACCCCUCUGGACCUCUCCACACGGGAGCCCUCCAUCUUGGCUCAAACUCUCUUCCUUCCUGGCGCAACAGUCUGCUCGCAUAUCAACUCCAGGGCCUCACCAGUGCAGCUCGAACCCACCGCUUAAAGCCUAAGAGACCAAAGAGCAGGUGUUUCUGCUUGGCUGGCGGACAAUGUGUUUAGUAGGGUCACAGAGGACCUCCCUGAGAAGCUACCUGGCACCUCUACCUCGUUGGACCCCCAGUCCUACAGACCACAUCCUGUUUCCCUCCACUCUACUCCACGCAUCCCACUCCCAUCAACAGCUGACUCCAUCCCAGCCAUUAGCCCAACCCUUUGAGAAGAGUCAGCUACUCUCCCUGGGGAGGCCCCGGUGAAGCCUGGGCCUGUCCUGUGGGCCUCAGCCAGGUCUGGGGAAGAGGUGGAGAGGCAGAGGCAGGAGAUACGUGAGGCCCAGAGGGAGCAGAGGGAAGAACGGAGAUGGCUGGAGGAAGAGCAGAGGAGGAGACAGAGGGAGGUGUUAGACACUGCUCACUGCUGACGACACACAGACUUUUCUGUGUCUGCCGGUCUCUCUCUGUGUCGGUGUGUGUGUGUGUGGCUCCCCCAGCCUGGUUCAGAGAUCGCUGAUGGUUUGGGGUCAAAGGUCCUGGGGUCAGAGUGUGUCCAUCUGAUUGCAGCUCUGCUCAGGGCCAUCGGAGUCCAAUGGGCAAACAUCAUCAUCUGUAGAAGCUAAUCAGAGCCAAGACAACACACUCAAUGUCCAGAGUUCACACCCAGACAGACCCGCCCCUCACCAACUUCCCCAACCACCACCCCCGAGCAGCCAAACCCCUGGUGGCCUGCGCCAGGCUGGUCGUCAUGGUGAUGACAGAGCAGCAUGAGCUCAGGCCUGAUCACAGGUCCAGAAGUGAGUGUGAGGCUGUCUCGUAUUGAAAGGGCAUUUCCAGAAGAACAGGACCCCUUGGCCCACUCUGAGAGAGGUCACUCCAGCACCUCUGUGUUCAGUGCAGGGGAACACACAGCUGGGAGUGAGACAUUAACCAGGUCUGGUAGAUCCAGCAAGCUAUCCUGGAGAGAGAGAGAUUACAGCUGGAGGCUGGUGCCUCUCCUGAACCUGUUUUGUCCAGUUGGAGAUCCUGUCCUUCCAGUCAGCCGGUAGACCCUCAGAACCAGACUACCUGUCUUCCACCACCAUCUCUUCUGGCAGCUUCGCCACCACUGACCCUGAACACACCUCCACCAAAAGUACUCUUCCCUGCUCUUGGCUGGGUUUAGAAGAGGGAAGAAAUCAUCGGUCAAUGGCUCCUCUUCAUGAAGACACAGUUCCUGUAGAGACGUAUCUGGUCCUGGGUCUCCCAUCUCAGACUCACUCCUACACAGCAGCAGUAUCCAGCGCAUCAUAGACAAAUACACCCGGGAGCUCAACCUCUCUCUCAGUUCUGCUGGGAACCAGAUGGGAGCUGAUGGGUCUAACUCCCUAGGCUGGGUGGAUCUGAGAGGCUCAGGCCAGACAGGAGUGUCAUCUGACCCAGAGGGAGCCCCUGAAGCCCAUUCAUUGAGCAGCUCCUUUCUCCCUGGACUGGAACUUCUGCCACACUACCAGUGCCUGCAACGCUCUGGCACCAGCUCCCAGGAAGCAGACAGGACUGGGGCCUCCGACUCCUUCCACCCCCUCCUGGCUGAAGUCACACACAACAAGACAGCUGAACCCUCCAUGACCUUUCACCUUCCAGAAGAGGAAGUGGAGGGGCUAUGUUCCCACGAAGAAGAAAGUGACCAUGAAGAACCUGCAGGGGACCUUGAACUCUCUGCAUGCUCAGUUGAGUUUGUGGACGACACUUGGUCUGUCACCUCUGACCCCCCCCCUCCUGAGUGCCUGAGAGGAGGGGAGGAACCACCUCAGCCCUCGCCCGCCCUGCACGACUCCUUGUACCAGCUGACCAUGUCCCAGUGCCUCCCUCAUAACUCUGCUCUGGAUGUAUCCCCAGGAGCAGAGGUGGGGGGGUCUGGCAGCAUGUUCCCUCUCUCUGUGAAGAUGUCCCCACUUUGGACAAGCCACUUGAAGGCGGGGACACUGAUAUGGAGAGCACACCAGCACCUCAGACAGUUGACCAAUGAGGUGCUAUUACCAUUAAGGACCUGGGUGCAGGAGAGCCGGAUGCCCAGCUAUGUUCAGAGUCAAAGAUCAGCCCUCCCAUCUGGGAGAGAAUAAUGGUGGGCAGUGUGAAGGGGAUAAUGGACGAUUCCAUGCUGACCCUGAUGAGCCUGACAGACACCACAUUAAAGGACCACGGACUCGCUGAGGAAGGAGAGAUGGAUGAGGUAUCAGACCAAUAAGGCAUUGUGGAAAAGGAAUCAGAGUGGACAGUGUUGCCAGAGGAGGACGCCAGCCUACAGGACAACCCCCUCUCAUGCAGUAAUGCUGCUGGAGUUCCAGUCGUGUCCCAGCGUGAAUCUACAGGAGGCCUUCCAGCAGAAACGCAGAGCCCUGAUCCAGAGGUCUGCCCGCAGGGUGGAGGAGAUUCAGGCCAAGACGUCUGAAGACAAAGCAAACACCAGGGCCCAGUCUGAAACCACUGAGACCAGGGCCAACACAACCACCAGGGCCCAGUCUGACCCAACCACUGUUCAGUCAUCCACUACUAAACCCAGGAGGGAGGGGAGGAGUGCAGAGUCAACCCAUGCAGGAGUGGAUUCCAAGCAGAAAAAGCAACAGCCAAAGCUCCAAACUCCCUUGCAGCCUCCCAUGCUAGCCAAGCUGAAGAAGGUUGGGGAGGUGAGGAUCAGCACUCCUGAGAUGAGGAUACAGGAUGUGGCUGACAUGCGCCAGAGAACAGAGAGGUUGUACAGCCGACUAGAUGAGGUAAAGCUUCAGGAGGAGGUCAGGAGCAGACAGGAGGCAUAUGCCAAAAACGGGAGAAGGCCAAAGAGUUUCACAAGAAGCUACGGGCCAAGCAGUCUCCGCAAUGAUACUGAAUAUCAGUUUUAUCUGUUGUCGUGUGUUCUGUGUUUGCACUUAUUUUGUACUUACAUGUGUUUUUGUACAGUUUAAUCAGUAAUGUAAAAUAUAUUUUACGAGUGUGUAUAUAAUCUGCGUUCAGUCUAUUCAUCACAAUUUACUGUGUUCACACAACAAAGGCAGCCAGUGCACUAUUGCACCUUGAAUGCUGGCGGUACACCCAUUGCAUUAUGAGAAUGUUAUGUUGCCUGUAAAAAUAUUUUAGUUUCAGGUUUUUAUAACCAAUAAAGUUGUUUGUUGCUGA